AAAAGGCACAUUAAUUAUCUUUGGGGCCAUGGGAUAAAAAAAAACCCUACAAAACCAAGUUAGCACACCCUAGAAUGGUUCUAGCACAAUUACUAACCUAUAGCUCUGAUACCAGUUGAAGGGAAAAACCC
rnacentral:pre_miRNA from 1 species